AGUCAGCUUCCAGAGAGGGGGUUUAUCCGGUUGGCUGCUGCGGGAGCGGGCUCGCGCCCGGGCGGCUCCGUAAUAGAAAAAAAAAAGGAAAAAAACGGUGUGACAGCUCAGAGCUGUCCACGUCAACACACCGAGCGAGCUGCGAGCGAGUACGGCGGCGGCAGCAGCGAUGGACUCUCUGGAACCUUCCCUCUAUACAGUGAAAGCUGUUUUCAUUCUUGACAACGAUGGCAACAGACUUCUGUCAAAGUACUAUGACCCAGAGCUUUACCCCUCCAUGAAGGAACAGAAGAACUUUGAGAUGAACGUUUUCAACAAGACACACAAAGCAGACAAUGAGAUAGCUUUCCUGGAGGGGAUGACCAUCGUCUAUAAGUGCAGUAUAGAUCUCUUCUUCUAUGUGGUGGGAAGUGCUCAGGAGAACGAGCUGAUGCUGAUGUCAGUACUGAACUGCCUGUUUGAGUCCCUCAGUCAGAUCCUCAGGAAAAAUGUAGAGCGGAGGUGUUUACUGGACAACAUGGAAGGAGUGUUUCUGGUUGUGGAUGAAAUCAUCGAUGGAGGGGUGAUUCUGGAGAGUGACCCCCAGCAGGUCCUACAGAAGGUCAACUACAGGCUAAUGUCAGAGCCAGCCUAUGGCUUUGUCCUGUUUGAUUACAUCACCGGUAACGUAGAGGGAGAAACAGUCAAGAGCCAGCUGCUGUAAGCAGACAGACAGACAGAGGGCGGAUGAAAACCCAUUAUCUGAACAAAGCGUGGCCCAGGUCCUGCAGUCGGCCAAAGAGCAGAUCAAAUGGUCCAUUCUGAAAUGACUCGGACCAGACACGGUCAGGAUUCUCAUGAAAGAUAUAAGAGAAGAUAUUUAUUCCCAAAGCUAUUUUUUAUUAUAAUAACAGACUAAAGGGAGGGCUCUUACAAGGCUGUCGGCCAAUAGGCUGCUUUAUAGCAGUUAACCAGCCAGUAGUGGAAUUGUUAUGGCAUUUUGUUACAUUGUGUGUGUCAUUUUAUUUAUUUGGUUCGAAAAUGAUGUUAGACAUAUGACAUCAGGAAAUAAAAAAGAAGACUCAGGUCUCAACAUCCAGCUGUGCUUCUAUAAAGGACAGUUGUUACGCCAAAGUAAUCGAUUACAGAUACUGGAAGCCUGAUUCAUGCUCUUAUUUUGGUGAAGCAGGAUCUUUCACUUUAGCAGAAUUUUACUUGUUUUUG